CGCCCUCCCUCCGCCGCCACUCACGACUACCGUACGGGACGGACGACGGACGAAGGUAAAGGUAAAGUUAAGUUAGGUCUAAGUGGACGACGAACGUCUACGAACCACGACCAGUCGCCGCGGUGGAGGAGUAGAAGGUCCUCUGGAUUGUAAACUUCUUUAUUCUGGAAGAAACCAUUUUUACUUAAAAUUGGACUGACGGUACCAGAUGAAUAAGCACCGGCUAACUCCGUGCCAGCAGCCGCGGUAAUAC
rnacentral:rRNA from 1 species